CUGUCGAAUACGGUGAGGAUGACAGAAAACCCCCUGGAGAUGGGUAGACCUGUGAAAAUCCAGAGCAAUGUGCAACAGGGGAUGCAGCAACCCCGCAGGAGCUUGAUGGGAAGCCUUGCGUCUGGCGCAGACGGGGCAUGCAGCCACAAACCUUUGAGGUGUGAGCCCACGACAAGACCUCUAGACAGAGAGUUCUCGGCACAAAAAGGCGACCAGGAGGACAUCCAGGGGAUGGGGAGUCCCUGAUAGCCUCCGACACACGUCUCUCCACCUCCCACUGUACUGUGCCCAGAAUCCGGGACUGAGGAAGCAUAGUCUCUGGGGGAGUGUCUUCUGUAGGAGGAGAGAACAUCCUCAACAAGGCGUCAGGUUUACCAUUGAGUGAGCCCGGGCGAAAAGUGAUACAAAAGUCAAACCUUGUAAGGAACAGGGACCACCGAGACAUGCGGGGAUUGAGACGUUGGGCAGAGCGGAGGUAGGCUAGGUUUCGAUGAUCAGUAUAAAUGAUAAAGGGGUGUUUGGCACCCUCCAGCCAGUGCCUCCAUUCUUGAAGGGCGAGGACCAAUGCAAGAAGCACUCGGUUCCCGAUGUCAUAGUUCUUCUCUGCAGGCGUAAGGAGAAGGCGCAGGGGUGCAGCUUCUGAUCAGAACUGGAAUGCUGGGACAAAACAGCCCCUACCCCGGUGUCAGAUGCGUCCACCUCAACAAAAAAAUGGGAGAUCAGGAUUAGCGUGAAGUAACACAGGAGCGGAGGUAAAGAGGCAUUUAAGGCGUCGAAAAGCCUGGUCAGCCUCUGAAAACCACACAAAAAGAACCUUAGAGGACGUUAAUUAAUUUAAAGGUUGAGCUACUUUGCUGAAGUCUCUAAUAAAGCGUCGGUAAAAAUUAGCAAACCCCAGAAACCUUUGCAGCAGCUUCCUGGAGGACGGCGUAGGCCAGUCUACAACCGCUUGGAUCUUAGCUGUGUCUGGCUUAACCUGCCCCCUCUCCACAAUCAACUCCAAAAACGACACUGGGAGAAUGAAAAGUGCACUUUUGGGGUUUAACAAAAAAUCGGUUCCCUAAAAGUCUCUGCAAAACCAAACGGACAUGCUGAUGUAAUUCAAUGGAGCGUGAAAAAAUAAGUUUAUCAUCCAGUAGACUACCACGAAACGGCCUAUUAUGUCACGGAGGACGUCAUUAAUUAAACACUGAAAAACCCCAGGAGCAUUAGUGAGGCAGAACGGCAUGACGCAAUACUCAAAUGGCCAAGAGGGGUGUUAAAAUCAGUCUUCCAUUCAUCACCUUCACGAAUACGCACGAGGUGAUACGCAUUAUGAAGAUCCAUCCAUCCAUCCAUUUUCUACCGCUUAUUCCCUUUGGGGUCGCGGGGGGCGCUGGAGCCUAUCUCAGCUACAAUCGGGCGGAAGGCGGGGUACACCCUGGACAAGUCGCCACCUCAUCGCAGGGCCAAUCCAAUUUAGUAAAUACUACCGCCCCAUGCAAAGGAGCAAACGAAGACAACAGUGGAAGAGGGUAUUUAUAUUUAAUUGUAAUUUUGUUCAGAGCUCUGUAAUCGCCGCGAAGAAGGUAGUGGCGAACCUGGAAGGAGGUCAAUGGCACAGUCAUACGGGCGGUGGGGGGGUAGCGACGUAGCCCGGUCUUUACAAAAAACUUCACGAAGAGAAUGAUAUUCCUCAGGAAUCAACGCGAGAUCAGGGGGCUGAAGAGUAGGAAGAGUGACAGGGUUAGCCGGAGACGAAGCGGAGCGUAAACAGUGACUAUGACAAAAAGUACUCCAAUUGGUAAUUUUAAGUGUGGUCCAAUCUAUGCUUGGACUGUGACGUUGCAACCAUGGAAGUCCAAGAACUAAGGGUGCCGAACGAGAGGGCAUUAUAAACAAUUUAACCUCCUCACAGUGAUUACCAGAAAUGAGGGAUGUGGCAUGUGUCUGAUGAGUAAUAUUAGCCAGGUGACGCCCGUCAAGUGAGCUAACAGUCUUAAUACGAUCAAUACCCACAGUAGGAAUCUUUAGAGAUUCCACAAGACUACUGUCAAUUAUGUUCUCAUCAGCCCCUGAGUCAAUUAGUGCCUUAAUAGGGCAAGAACCCCCCACCCAUGACAGUACCUUCCACUUGAAGUCUUCCCACCAGUGAGGAUGCAGACGUCACCACAGGAGCAGGCGGCGAAGUUGGUAAUCUUCCCUGCAGAAGGUCUCGGGUGGACGCGGAACGGCCCCCAGUAGGCCGCGCAGGACAGCGAACAACGAUGUGGUCCGCAGCACAAGCACAACCUCAGCCGACGUCUCCUCUUUGCUGCGACUGCCACCCAGCUGCAUAGGUAUGGCCCCCUCUAGCCCCUCCUCCGGGGCACUGCAGUCAGAAGGCGGAAGCGACGAAACCUGAGACUUGGAUGUUGACUGUGGGGACCAGGCAGGUGACUGCCAUCUGGCGGACGGAGGAUCCACACCCUUCUGGGCGUGUCGCUCUCGUAGGCGGUUGUCCAAUCGGAUAGCGAGCGAGAUGAGCUCCUCGAGGGCCUGGGUCUCGGCGCGGGCAGCCAGCUCGUCUUGGAUCUGGGGGCUAAGGCUAGCCAGGAAUUAUCCCCGCAAUGCUCUCUCCUCCCAGCCACUCUCCGCCGCUAGGAUCCGGAAGGAGAUUGAGUGGUCCGCUACAGAGGAGGACCCCUGGCGCAUAGCGAGGAGGCGGCUGCCUGCCUUUCGUUCCCUCACAGGGUGAUCGAAGACGCUGCGCAGCUCAGCGGAAAAUAGGGGUAGGCUGGAACGAAGACCGGGUUUACUCACACACACCUCUAUAGCCCAGGGUGCUGCUCUUCCAGCUAGUAAACUAAGUAUAUAUGCCACACGGGGAGAGUCUGUUGUAUCUGUGUGAGGCUGCUGUGCAAAAACUAAAGAGCAUUGAUGUAAAAAAAAAAAAAAAGUCUGCAUUGUCCAAAGUCCCCCUCAUACUUGGGCGGAUGUGGUAUGCUGGGCUCCCGGGUAGGAAAACCCGAUGUCGAGGUCACGGGGUAAGAAGAAGCUGCAGUUUGAGCAGCCUCUGAGUCUUGGAGCGGGUGAGGGACAAACAGGCGUGUAUGCAUCUCCUGCACAAGUGUGGUCAGGUUUGACAAAGUACAAAGUUUGUUAGUGAUCACUUAUUCGCUGGCCAUGAGCCCUGAGGGCCAGCUGAAUACGAAUCUCAUCUGCAGGUUCCAUAAUAGACUCUGCAAUUCUGUCACAGUUCAAUUAAAUAUAGAACAGAGGAACCCAAGGAUGCAGAUGGAAUGUGAGUUAAACAGUUCUUUACUUAACGAAAAAGCACUUCCAACAAUGAUCCAAAAAUAGGAGAUAACAAAAAGCUAAGAAUAGAACACAAAAAGAGCACCGUGAUAAAAAGAACAAAAGCUAAUAUACAAAACUAUUUAAACUUAGGAGUGACGUGCACAUACCAAGCUGGACGGCACUGGGAAUAGCCAAGAAGGUAAGUAGCAUAAAUACAAGGAGUAGUGAUGGGUCCGGCAACACCGAUACAUCGGCGCAUGCGUCGAGCUCAUAGAGCGAAACCCUGUGUCGGUGCGCGUACCGCUUUUAGAAAGUCACGUGACCGAUCAUGAGCUGUUUUGGUCACGUGACCAAUACGCGAACUGUGUCGCACUGACGCCUCCUCUGUGCCCUGUGAAAGGUUCUUUUCUACAGCCGGAGAAAUAAUAACUAAGAAGAGAAAGCGUCUAAAAUUGAAUACAUUGGAAAAACUGUUUUUAAAAAAAUAUAAAAAUGUGUAAAAAAAAAAAAAAAAAAAAUUCCAGGUCCACAAGCAUCCUCAUUCACAACACGUUCUCUUAGAUUUCCAUGUUAUGAUACAUGUUCACAUUAUUUAUUGACUGUAUCUAAAAAAGACAAAAAAUAUAUUUUUAUUUAAAUGAAGUUAUGAAAUAAUCCUAAAUUAAAUACAAUGACUUGGUUUAUAUUAUUGUAUAUACUAGGUCAGUGGUUCUCAACCUUUUUUCAGCAAUGUACCCCCUGUGAAUUUUUUUUAAAUUCAAGUACCCCCUAAUCAGAGCAAAGCAUUUUUGGUUGAAAAAAAAAAAAGAUAAAGAAGUAAAAUACAGCACUAUGUCAUCAGUUUCUGAUUUAUUAAAUUGUAUAACAGUGCAAAAUAUUGCUCAUUUGUAGUGGUCUUUCUUGAACUAUUUGGAAAAAAAGAUAUAAAAAUAACUAAAAACUUGUUGAAAAAUAAACAAGUGAUUCAAUUAUAAAUAAAGAUUUCUACACAUAGAAGUAAUCAACUUAAAGUGCCCUCUUUGGGGAUUGUAUUAGAGCUCCAUCUGGAUUCAUGGACUUAAUUCUAAACAUUUCUUCACAAAAAAAAAAAUCUUUAACAUCAAUAUUUAUGGAACAUGUACACAAACAAUCUAGCUGUCAACACUGAAUAUUGCAUUGUUGCAUUUCUUUUCACAGUUCUUUUUGACCGACAUUUUAGUGACAAACCUGAGCUUGUGCUUCACGGAGUUUAUGAACUUACAUUCAUAUUUUGUUUAAGUAUUAUUCAAUAAAUAUAUUUAUAAAUGAUUUUUGAAUUGUUGCUAUUUUUAGAAUAUUUAAAAAAAAAUCUCACGUACCCCUUGGCAUACCUUCAAGUACCCCCAGGGGUACGCGUACCCCCAUUUGAGAACCACUGUACUAGGUUAUAAAAUCAGUGUCAGUUGAGUCGGUCCGUAGGUUGCCUGUAGGGAUUUUUAAUGUCCAGCAGAUGUCAGUAUUUAGUGACACAGUAUCGACACAGUAUCAAUACAGUUUUGCAAUGUGUUGAAACGCUUCAUGACGCCUCAUCAACCCAUCACUAACAAGGAGCAUAGGAGUCUUCAUACAAGUAGAGUCGAGGAGUGGAAUUGCCGAGUGCCACCCAGCUGACAAGGUGCUGCUUAAGUAGUGCUGGUGAGAUUGGACACAGCUGUGCACGUCUCACAACUCCGCCCACAGGGACACACAGGAACUCUGAGGAAGACAAAAGAUCAAUGCAUGGUCAACCGAGGCAUGAUCUCCUGUGCAGCCAUGCCUUGUUGCACACGGUGCACUUCAGAAACUCUGUAGGGAACGUGGCGUCCUGCGUGUGUCCUCGGGGGAACCAACGGUGGAAGAUUCAGGAAUGGCUCGGCUAAGAGAAGAUUACAACGCUCUUGCGGGCGCAUUCCAAUGCGCCCUCAUCUGUGUGUCCUGACGAGAGCACCGCGGGCCGCGCCCACUUGUGCUCUCUCCUCUGGCUGCUCGCCCGGACACGCCCCCGCUCACGCUGAGCGCACCACGCAGCGACAAGCCUGCACUCAAUCGCAAUCAGCACACCUGGUACUGAUGAGGGCGAGCUGCAUAAAGGACCUGUGGACCCAAGGAUCGACGCGGGAUCUUAGUUUACCCUUUGGAUACCUUACCUCUUGGUGUACCUGCCUUCCCGAGUCUCCCCUUCGACAUCUCCCGUUGUUUUCCCCCCUGUGUUUUUGGACUGCUUUCCUCGUUUCCCGACUCCUCGCUCGCCCCCGGACUCUGACGUCUCUCUAUGCCCCACGGACCCCUCGCAGAUCUUGGACCCCUUUUGCCUUGCCCUCUUUGGACUUGUCUGCUCCCUCAUCCAACAGCACGGUAAUACACAACAGCUAACUACACACAUAGUCUAACACCACUCACUCUAGGGUAGUGAUGGGUUGAUGAGGUGUCAUGAAGCGUUUCGACACAUUGCAAAACUGUAUUGAUACUGUGUCGAUACUGUGUCACUAAAUACUGACAUCUGCUGGACAUUAAAAAUCCCUACAGGCAACCUAUGGACCGACUCAACUGACACUGAUUUUAUGACCUAGUAUAUACAAUAAUAUAAACCAAGUCAUUGUAUUUCAUUUAGGAUUAUUUCAUAUCUUCAUUUAAAUAAAAAUAUAUUUUUAUCUUUUUUAGA